GCAUAACGCGAAGAACCUUACCACCUUUUGACAUGCCUGGACCGCCACAGAGAUGUGGCUUUCCCUUCGGGGACUGGGACACAGGUGCUGCAUGGCUGCCGUCAGCUCGUGUCGUGAGAUGUUGGGUUAAGUCCCGCAACGAGCGCAACCCUCGCCAUUAGUUGCCAUCAUUCAGUUGGGAACUCUAAUGGGACUGCCGGUGCUAAGCCGGAGGAAGGUGGGGAUGACGUCAAGUCCUCAUGGCCCUUACAGGGUGGGCUACACACGUGCUACAAUGGCGACUACAGAGGGUUAAUCCUUAAAAGUCGUCUCAGUUCGGAUUGUCCUCUGCAACUCGAGGGCAUGAAGUUGGAAUCGCUAGUAAUCGCGGAUCAGCAUGCCGCGGUGAAUACGUUCCCGGGUCUUGUACACACCG
rnacentral:rRNA from 1 species